rnacentral:sRNA from 1 species
UUCAUGUUGUUCCUGGUCCACUCUUUCCUUUUAACCACAGUUUUGGGUGAAAGAUAAGGCUUAUGCCUCAUAAUUCUGCGGUAAAACCCAUGCUCAUGAGUGAUCUUGAUGAUAGUUGUCACGCUGACAUUACAUUGUAUCUCUUUGUGUGAAUGCUCCAGAGUUCUCGUGGACUGCGAACAAAGUCCCUCAGAAGAUUCCUUACUUGCCCCUGAUCCAACACCUUUGGCCUUCCAGGGCUUGGGAGCAAAUAAGUGUGUCCAUGGUGCACAUACUCUCGACACCAGCGCUUGAUUGUACACUUGGGACACUUAUAUUGUUUUGCAAGAUUGCUGAAUGAUUUCCCACUUUUGCGGGCUUCCACAACAGUUUGUUUGGUAGUGGGGGUGACCUGGGGUGCCAUUAUGGAAAAUAAUCAAAUAGUUAUAAGUACAUGCAUGAACAAUUCAAAAUUAUAGUUAUG